rnacentral:tRNA from 765 species
GCGGGAGUAGCUCAGUUGGUAGAGCGGCAGCCUUCCAAGCUGCAUGUCGCGAGUUCGAUCCUCGUCUCCCGCUCCA